rnacentral:tRNA from 1 species
AAUCUAUAAAAAUUGUUUUGAAAACAAUGCUAAGAGAGCUAUCUCUAUAGAUUACCUUAAUUUUUUUCUGUUAGUAAAAUAAAAAAUAACAAAAAAUAAACAAACUAACAGGUAGAAACCUUUUCCAAGCCAAAAACAUCAGCUUGUCAUAUCGAAAGCGGGGUAUAGUGCCUCGGACCCAAACAAAUAUAAACCUAAUAAAUAUUCCUUUUAACACUAAAACCGGGGUUACACCUCUCGACAAAAACAACAUUGAUAUUAAUAUUCUUAUAAAUAAAAUACUUGCAUAUUCCGCUAUAAAAAUUAGAGUAAAACCUCCAGAAGAAUAUUCAGUAUUAAAACCGGAAACAAGCUCCGACUCUCUCUCAGAAAAAUCAUAAGGAGACCGAUUAGUCUCUGCUAAAGAAGAAACAAAUCAAAUUAUUAUCAAAGGAAAAAAAAAAAACGCCCCUCAGUUAAACCAAGAAUUUUCCAUAAUGAUAUAAAAUCUGGUAGAAUUACAAACUCAAAGUAACCUCAAAAUAAUCAUUACUAAUCUUACUUCAUAAGAGAUCAUUUGAGCAACAGCCCGCAAGCCCCCUAAAAAAGAAUAUUUAGAGUUAGAAGCCCAACCCCUAACUAAAAUAGGGAAAACCCCUAACCCCCUCACGCAAACAAAAAAAAGAACCCCCAACUCGAAAUUAAGGCCUCCAAAAAAGUAAGGAAAAACUAACCAAACCACUAAAAUAACCAAUAAAGACAAAAAAGGAGAAAUAAAAAAAAAAAAAAAAUUACCCAUCCGACAAUAGGAGAUUUCUUUUACAAAUAGCUUGACCGCGUCGGCAAAAGGCUGAAGCAGCCCUCAAAAACCAACUUUAACCGGGCCAAUUCGAAUCUGAAUUCUGCUAAGUAACUUCUGUUCCAUUAAUGUGACAAAAGCAACACUAACCAGAACUAUUACUAAUAUAACUAAGUAUACUAGUGCUAUCAAAAAAAGUUCCAAUUUUAGUUGAUAAAU